rnacentral:rRNA from 1 species
UACAGAGGGGGCAAGCGUUGUUCGGAAUUACUGGGCGUAAAGGGCUCGUAGGCGGCCAACUAAGUCAGACGUGAAAUCCCUCGGCUUAACCGGGGAACUGCGUCUGAUACUGGAUGGCUUGAGGUUGGGAGAGGGAUGCGGAAUUCCAGGUGUAGCGGUGAAAUGCGUAGAUAUCUGGAGGAACACCGGUGGCGAAGGCGGCAUCCUGGACCAAUUCUGACGCUGAGGAGCGAAAGCCAGGGGAGCAAAGCGGG